UACAGAGGUCUCAAGCGUUGUUCGGAUUCAUUGGGCGUAAAGGGCGCGUAGGCUGCGGGGCAAGUCGGGUGUGAAAUCUCAGAGCUCAACUCUGAAACUGCACUCGAUACUGCUUUGCUUGAGGACUGGAGAGGAGAUUGGAAUUCACGGUGUAGCAGUGAAAUGCGUAGAUAUCGUGAGGAAGACCAGUGGCGAAGGCGGAUCUCUGGACAGUUCCUGACGCUGAGACGCGAAAGCGUGGGGAGCGAACAGG
rnacentral:rRNA from 1 species